GGAGAUGGAUAUGCAAUCGCUUUACAUUUAUUGUAAAGAGGAAAGUCCGAACUUUAGCUGCAGGAAGUAGUGAUACUGCAGAAAAACGGUAGUAGGUAAUCCCUAUCAUUCGCGAGAAUAGAGGUGCGAACAGAGACGUUUUUUUUGGAAACAAAAAAAAUAUCCUGAGGAUAUGCAAAAGGAUAAGUUUUUGUAGUAAUACAAAAAGUGAAACGGCUAAAACCUUACCAUAAAGCAAGACUGAAUUAUAGUCGCUUGACCGUUAAAAGCGAUUUUAACGGCAGAGAAAUGAUUGCACUUUUAAAUUUGAUUUAAAAGACAGAAUUCGGGGUACAGUCCAUCUUUAGAA
rnacentral:RNase_P_RNA from 1 species